rnacentral:rRNA from 1 species
ACGGAAGGCAGCAGUGGGGAAUAUUGCACAAUGGGGGAAACCCUGAUGCAGCGACGCCGCGUGAGUGAAGAAGUAUUUCGGUAUGUAAAACUCUAUCAGCAGGAAAGAAAAUGACGGUACCUGACUAAGAAGCCCCGGCUAACUACGUGCCAGCAGCCGCGGUAAUACGUAGGGGGCAAGCGUUAUCCGGAUUUACUGGGUGUAAAGGGAGCGUAGACGGCUUUGCAAGUCUGAAGUGAAAGCCCGGGGCUCAACCCCGGAACUGCUUUGGAAACUGUAGAGCUAGAGUGCAGGAGAGGUAAGUGGAAUUCCUAGUGUAGCGGUGAAAUGCGUAGAUAUUAGGAGGAACACCAGUGGCGAAGGCGGCUUACUGGACUGUAACUGACGUUGAGGCUCGAAGGCGUGGGGAGCAAACAGGAUUAGAUACCCUGGUA